rnacentral:rRNA from 1 species
UACUCCAUAAAGUCAAUUUAAGGCAUCUUUUAUUGAUUAAAGCUCCGGCGGUUAGAGAUGGGCAUGCGUGUCAUUAGCUAGUUGGUGAGGUAACGGCUCACCAAGGCCACGAUGACUAGGGGGUCUGAGAGGAUGAUCCCCCACACUGGUACUGAGACACGGACCAGACUCCUACGGGAGGCAGCAGUGAGGAAUAUUGGGCAAUGGACGCAAGUCUGACCCAGCCAUGCCGCGUGCAGGAUGACUGCCCUAUGGGUUGUAAACUGCUUUUGUUUGGGAAGAAACCCCCGAUCGUGAUCGGGGCUGACGGUACCAUACGAAUAAGCAUCGGCUAACUCCGUGCCAGCAGCCGCGGUAAUACGGAGGAUGCAAGCGUUAUCCGGAUUCAUUGGGUUUAAAGGGUGCGCAGGCGGAAUAUUAAGUCAGUGGUGAAAUCCUGCAGCUUAACUGUAGAACUGCCAUUGAUACUGAUAUUCUUGAAUAUAGUUGAGGUGGGCGGAAUGUGUAAUGUAGCGGUGAAAUGCUUAGAUAUUACACAGAACACCAAUUGCGAAGGCAGCUCACUAAACUAAUAUUGACGCUGAGGCACGAAAGCGUGGGUAGCAAACAGGAUUAGAUACCCUGGUAGUCCACGCUGUAAACUAUGAUCACUCGCUGUUGGCAAUACAUCGUCAGCGGCUGAGCGAAAGCAUUAAGUGAUCCACCUGGGGAGUACGGUCGCAAGAUUGAAACUCAAAGGAAUUGACGGGGGCCCGCACAAGCGGAGGAACAUGUGGUUUAAUUCGAUGAUACGCGAGGAACCUUACCUGGGCUUAAAUGCAGAGCGACGGCCGCCGAAAGGUGGAUUCCUUCGGGCGAUCUGCAAGGUGCUGCAUGGUUGUCGUCAGCUCGUGCCGUGAGGUGUCGGGUUAAGUCCCAUAACGAGCGCAACCCUUAUCGUUAGUUGCCAGCGGGUAAUGCCGGGGACUCUAACGAAACUGCCGGUGUAAACCGUGAGGAAGGUGGGGAUGACGUCAAAUCAGCACGGCCCUUAUGUCCAGGGCUACACACGUGUUACAAUGGUCGGUACAGAGGGCAGCUACCACGCAAGUGGAUGCUAAUCUCGAAAACCGGUCUCAGUUCGGAUUGAAGUCUGCAACUCGACUUCAUGAAGCUGGAUUCGCUAGUAAUC